GAUGAACGCUGGCGGCGUGCCUAAUACAUGCAAGUCGAGCGAAUGGAUUAAGAGCUUGCUCUUAUGAAGUUAGCGGCGGACGGGUGAGUAACACGUGGGUAACCUGCCCAUAAGACUGGGAUAACUCCGGGAAACCGGGGCUAAUACCGGAUAACAUUUUGAACCGCAUGGUUCGAAAUUGAAAGGCGGCUUCGGCUGUCACUUAUGGAUGGACCCGCGUCGCAUUAGCUAGUUGGUGAGGUAACGGCUCACCAAGGCAACGAUGCGUAGCCGACGUGGGAGGGUGAUCGGCCACACUGGGACGGAGACACGGCCCAGACUCCUACGGGAGGCAGCAGUAGGGAAUCUUCCGCAAUGGACGAAAGUCUGACGGAGCAACGCCGCGUGAGUGAUGAAGGCUUUCGGGUCGUGAAACUCUGUUGUUAGGGAAGAACAAGUGCUAGUUGAAUAAGCUGGCACCUUGACGGUACCUAACCAGAAAGCCACGGCUAACUACGUGCCAGCCGCCGCAGUAA
rnacentral:rRNA from 1 species